AUCCAACGGACGAGUUCCAAAAAGGACGAAACGCGGGUCCUAGAU
rfam:Schistosoma margrebowiei strain Zambia genome assembly, scaffold: SMRZ_scaffold0000006